CGGGGCGUAGCGCAGCCUGGUAGCGCACUUGCAUGGGGUGCAAGGGGUCGAAGGUUCGAAUCCUUCCGUCCCGACCA
rnacentral:tRNA from 10 species